rnacentral:rRNA from 1 species
AGAGUUUGAUCCUGGCUCAGAGCGAACGCUGGCGGCAGGCCUAAUACAUGCAAGUCGAACGGUCUCUUCGGAGGCAGUGGCGGACGGGUGAGUAACGCGUGGGAACGUGCCCUUUGGUACGGAACAACUGAGGGAAACUUCAGCUAAUACCGUAUGUGCCCUUCGGGGGAAAGAUUUAUCGCCAUUGGAGCGGCCCGCGUUGGAUUAGCUAGUUGGUGGGGUAAUGGCCCACCAAGGCGACGAUCCAUAGCUGGUCUGAGAGGAUGAUCAGCCACACUGGGACUGAGACACGGCCCAGACUCCUACGGGAGGCAGCAGUAGGGAAUCUUGCGCAAUGGGCGAAAGCCUGACGCAGCCAUGCCGCGUGAAUGAUGAAGGUCUUAGGAUUGUAAAAUUCUUUCACCGGGGACGAUAAUGACGGUACCCGGAGAAGAAGCCCCGGCUAACUUCGUG